UACGUAGGGUGCAAGCGUUGUCCGGAAUUAUUGGGCGUAAAGAGCUCGUAGGCGGUCUGUCGCGUCGGAUGUGAAAACCCAGGGCUCAACCCUGGGCCUGCAUUCGAUACGGGCAGACUAGAGUUCGGUAGGGGAGACUGGAAUUCCUGGUGUAGCGGUGAAAUGCGCAGAUAUCAGGAGGAACACCGGUGGCGAAGGCGGCCUGCUGGGCAGUAGCUGACACUGAGGCGCGACAGCGUGGGGAGCAAACAGG
rnacentral:rRNA from 1 species